GAUGAAGAACGUAGCGAAAUGCGAUAAGUAAUGUGAAUUGCAGAUUUCAGUGAAUCAUCGAAUCUUUGAACGCACCUUGCGCCUUGUGGUAUUCCACAAGGCAUGCCCGUUUGAGUAUCAUUAAAUCAUCAACUCUAAAACCUUUGUGGUUUUUUUAGAGCUUGGUCUUGAGGGUUUUGCAGGCUUUUUUUUUUCGAGUCUGCUCCCUUUAAAUGCAUUAGCGAGACUUCCCUAUGCUGAACCGUCUCUUUGACGUGAUAAUUAUCUGCGUCGAAUUUUGGUUCUCGUUGGGCUUGCUUCUAAUCGUCUGUUAAAGACAAAACGGAUUUGGGUGCAUAUAUGCGCCUUUUUCCAACACCUUUUUUGAUCUCAAAUCGGGUAGGACUACCCGCUGAACUUAAGCAUAUCAAUAAGCGGAGGA
rnacentral:misc_RNA from 1 species